rnacentral:lncRNA from 1 species
GUCCCAGCCCCGGGGCCGUGUCCCAGCCCGGGGCCGCUGUCCCAGGAGCGGGGCGGUGCCGCGGCUCCGAGCCAGGUGCGGCGGGCACGGCCCCGCCCCCGGAGCCGAUUGGCGCUUUCGAAAGGAGCGGCCGGCGCGGCGGCGGCCGCUGCGCCGUGAGAGCCCAGCACGGCCCAGCGCAGGACAGGACGGCACGGCACAGCACAGCCCAGUCCGGGACGGCACAGCAAAGCACGGCGCGGCAGAGCGCUUUUUGAUGCAGGGAACCCAACUGGUUUUAGAAGAAGUCAGAUUUGGUUAUGACUCUGCCUGGUACUGCAGUAUUCUCCUCACCACAGCACCUUCUGCACAUUUACAGGCUGACUACUUGAAGGUGGCAGAUCUGGGUCUUCUCAUCCUGUGCCUCUUGCAAGAUAAAAAGAAGGGGAAAGAUAUCACUGGAGUGUCUCUGAUAAGGUCUGAGAAGUGCUAGCAGUCCUCGUACAAGGAAGUGUCUUCACCUGAAACCAAACUGGUUGCUCAUUUGCCAGUUGCAGAGGUAAGUUGUUUGAAAUGCCUGAUAGAUGUGGUCCCACGUAGUCUGUUAGGUUUAAGGCAGUGGGAAGGAGCAAGGGGGAGAAAAUGACACCAUUCUGCUUUCAAUGUAGGUUGAAAGGGUGAGAAUUUUUACAAGAAUUGUGUUUUCUGUGAUGGGAGGUUCAGUCUUUUGUCAUAGGAGGUUGUGCAGGAGAGAAGAUGCCAUCUACAUACAAAGCCUAAAUAUCUGGGACAGGAGAGGAAAAAUACUUAAUUUUAAAUGAAAACAGAUGAGUUAAAAAUGUCUGCUAAUGUCUGCAAUCUGGUUUUCAGUUUAAUCAGUAAGGUGAAAUUUUAUUGCAUCUAUUGAGUAACAGCAGAUAAGUAGUUUUUAACAGGUUUCAAGACGCAGAUAGGAACUUUUUGACAUUGCAAAACACCACUGGAAAAUGAUUAUAGAGAAAUACCCUCUGUACACAUGCAUGCAGCUAACCUGGCAAUGCUGCAC